rnacentral:rRNA from 1 species
AGUGAACGCUGGCGGUAGGCCUAACACAUGCAAGUCGAACGGCAGCACAGUAAGAGCUUGCUCUUACGGGUGGCGAGUGGCGGACGGGUGAGGAAUACAUCGGAAUCUACUUUUUCGUGGGGGAUAACGUAGGGAAACUUACGCUAAUACCGCAUACGACCUACGGGUGAAAGCAGGGGAUCUUCGGACCUUGCGCGAUUGAAUGAGCCGAUGUCGGAUUAGCUAGUUGGCGGGGUAAAGGCCCACCAAGGCGACGAUCCGUAGCUGGUCUGAGAGGAUGAGGGGACACAGUGGGAAUGAGAUACGGCCCAGACUACGAGGGGAGGGAGCAGUGGGGGAUAGUGCACUAUGGGAGGAAGCAUGAGGAAGCAACGCCGCGGGCGGGAUGACGGCCGUCGGGAUGUAAAACGCCACCGCCUGUGACGACGCGUGAGGGACGGGAAUGGGUAAAGAAGCACAGGCUAAUGAGGUG